GCCUGGCAUAGUGGUUUGAGCAUUGGACUAUGACUCUGGAGACCAGGGUUCAAUUCACCGUUCGGCC